GAUGAACGCUGGCGGCGUGCCUAAUACAUGCAAGUCGAGCGAACAGACGAGGAGCUUGCUCCUCUGACGUUAGCGGCGGACGGGUGAGUAACACGUGGAUAACCUACCUAUAAGACUGGGAUAACUUCGGGAAACCGGAGCUAAUACCGGAUAAUAUAUUGAACCGCAUGGUUCAAUAGUGAAAGACGGUUUUGCUGUCACUUAUAGAUGGAUCCGCGCCGCAUUAGCUAGUUGGUAAGGUAACGGCUUACCAAGGCAACGAUGCGUAGCCGACCUGAGAGGGGGAUCGGCCACACUGGAACUUAGACACGGACCAGACUCCUACGGGAGGCAGCAGUAGGGAAUCUUCCGCAAUGGGCGAAAGCCUGACGGAGCAACGCCGCGUGAGUGAUGAAGGUCUUCGGAUCGUAAAACUCUGUUAUUAGGGAAGAACAAAUGUGUAAGUAACUAUGCACGGCUUGACGGUACCUAAUCAGAAAGCCACGGCUAACUACGUG
rnacentral:rRNA from 1 species